rnacentral:ncRNA from 1 species
GAAAGUUGAGUGGCAUUUGCUUCUUCAAAAGAGAAGUUAACCACCUCAGAGCUCAACUUUCAUUACACUCACUAUGUUGGAUUAAUUAAAAAUUAAAACUACAGAAAGGAAAAGUCUCUGAGCGGUUAAACUGAAAGUCACCUAAUUCCUUGGGUAGAAAUACUAACAAGGAGAUUGACAGGACCCCAAGUCCUUCAGUUUUGACUAAGAAAGUCCUAGUACCUGGGCACGGGUUUAGGGAGUCCGCAAGAUUCCAUAGAGAUGAGUAACAGUUGAGUAGGGUUAACCGAAACGAGUGAUUGACGUAAACAAUCGGUGAUGACUUGAUACCUUUGGCAACAUCGGUGGACACGGGAGGAACCCAAUGUAGAAUGGGAUAAUCUCACAAAAGACAGGUCAACGAAACGUAUAGUCUCAGCGU